rnacentral:tRNA from 1 species
GGGGUUGUGGCUCAGUGAUAGAGUGCUUGCCUCUCACGUGUGAGGCUCUGAGUUCGAUCCUCAGCACCA